UAUUACGUCAUAUUACUACUACCUCAUCAAUUACGCCAGGUUACUACUACGUCAUGUUAAUUCUAUACGUGAUCAAAUACCUCCGGUUACGAUACGUCAUCAAAAAAUUGUCCCUACGUAAUUAGUUACGUCACCACGUACGGGGUUUAAUGGGUAUAUCUAUAUAAUGCUAUCAUGUUACUACGUCACUAUGUCCCAUCUUCCCCACCCCACUAUAACGUGAUUUAUUAUUCACCCUUCUCUAUAACAGAGCCAUGAACUACUGGGUUGAAGCAUGCAGUAGCUAACGGACUUUGCCACGGCGUCAGACUCUACGAUAACACAGGCCAUGCUACCGUAUAUACUUACCAACCACAUUGAACAACGGUAUAUGUUCUCCUUGGUAAAUACUCGCAAUAAUCCCAACGGCCAGCAAUGCAACAACAGUCCAAUAAUUCCAAUCCAUUGCCUAAAGUUCCUAAGCUAUGAUAAGGAAAUUACUUUAUGUUCUCGUGCGUGUCCUGAAUUCUCACUACCCUAGUCAAGACAACGACAGUCGUUAUAACACGGGUGUCUGUUUUAUACACCUCGUGCCUUAUUACAAGUUGUGGGUGAUCGUUUAUACGACUGACAAUUUGGACAACCCAAUAGUGACCACCGGGUUGGAGCAAUUGCCGUUAAGUGUCUUGCCCAAGGACACAUACGCCCACAAUGGCAGCACAGCGACGAGCCUCGUGUAUCCAAAGGACAUCAACUUAAAAUACCGCCGCAGUCUAGCUUGGAAUGAAGUUUUAUACCAACUGAAUUUCGGAUCAUAAUUAAAUAACAAACAAUGAACCGGAAACUCCUCGUCAAACCGAUUGUCUCAUAGAUGAUGGAACAAUAGAGGCAUCCGAUACCUGGUUGUGACGUCAUAAAGUAUAGGGCGGAGGAAUAUUUCAAUAAUAAGUUCUAAAUAUUGGCGGAAUUGUUUUUCUGGA